GGCGUCCGGACGGUCGUCGCUCGGGAGGGUCACUCCUUCCGGGAGGAAAGUCCGAACAUCGUCAGGCAGCGUGCCGCCGGAAGACAGCGGAGCCGUUCACGCGCAAGCGGAGCGGCAUGGAAAGUGUCACAGAAAAGAAGACCACCGGGAGGGGAGACCCUUCCGGAAAGGGUGAAAAGGCGGGGUAAGAGCCCACCCUUCCCCCGGCAACGGCGGGAAGCGAUAAACCCCACGCGAUGCAAGGCCGAACAGGGACCGAUCCCAGGAUCGCCUGAUCCGAUUCCCCUCGCAAGAGGGAGAUCCGGUUCCGGGUUAGGCCGCACCACGGUCACUGAUCGGGGCCGCCGGUCGUUCCGCAAGAAACGACGGCGGCAGAGAAAUGACGGCCCAAGGGACGGCAGGCGCAUCGGCCUCCGCCCGGGACAGAAUUCGGCUUAGGUCCGGACGCACGAU
rfam:Verrucomicrobiaceae bacterium GAS474 genome assembly, chromosome: I